rnacentral:lncRNA from 1 species
GAGGGGGAGGACGGGAGGCUACGGGGUAGAGGGGAAGAGGGCUCAUAGAGGAUGGGGGGAUGGCAGGAAACUCAGGAGGUAGGAGGAGGCUAGAGGAAUGCCCAGACCUAGGAUGACGAGCUAAGGCUGGCGAGGAGGCUUAGGAGAGCUUAGGAGGCUCUGGAAAGGCACAAAGCAUGGGUAGGAUGGAGCAGGACCUAGGUAGACUAGCAGGAGACUCUGGCAGGGAACAAUAGGCUGUUUAAGACCAAAGCUGGAAAAGCAGGGUAGAGAUCAGGGAGAUAGCAAGCAGGUCACACAGGUCUGAUGCUGACUGGGAUAAGGAGGUUGACAGAAGGACAGGAUGGUGAGGAGGAAGGCAGGAGCUUAGGAGGAGGGGUCAAAGCACAGAAAGGGAAGAAGGCUGAGUGGGUGAUCCAGAAGAUGUAUAUGUCAGCAGCCUUGGAAGAAGCUGCUGAUAGGACAGCAGCUAAGGCAUAUGGCAUGGUAGGAGACUAAAGGAGAGUCCAGGAAUGAGGAGGAGUGCAAGAGGCUCAUGGGAAAGGAAGAAGAAACAGAGAGAGCUGGCUUGACAGGGCUGUGUAGAAGAGAGCAGAGGAUGGACCUGAGGUGACCGACACAGAGGACUACAGGAAGGCAUGAAAGAGGAAAGAAGGGAGGCAAGGGCAGGGUCAGAGGGCAUGCAUAGUGAAAAGAGCAAGCGUCUCAGGGGAGGGCAUGAAGCUGGUAGAAGAAGGAAGUAGGACAAGGAGGACAAGGACCAGAAGCUGUGAGGACUAGGAGCAAGGGUUGCAAGGCAAGAGGGAGAGGCUAAGCAACGGGUAGGGAAGAAGUCCAAGGCUAUAGUGCCGACAUGGAAAUGAGAAGAGUCUGAGGUGACAUGGGAAGUGGAGGGUAAGAAUCUGGAGAGGAAGGUAGGAGGAUCAGGAUGGGGUAGAAAGUUGCAGGAGGGGCAGGAAGCUAUGGGAGAGCUGAGGCACACUAGGAAAUGAGAGGGCUCAAGGGGCACUAUUAUCCAGGCAGAGGGCAGGAGGCUGGUGUGAGGGUAAGAAUUCAGGGAGAAUGGGG